AUUUGGUGUAUGGAAAUAUAUUAUGAUCUAUAUGUCAGUCCCGCAGGUUUUAUUUGACCAUGACCUCAAUUGCACGGUUCAUUGGACAGUUAAGUUUUUGUGUUUUGGUCUAUUUUUCUUAAACUAUAAGUAAUAGGUCAACUAUAUUUGUUGUAUGGAAGCAUUGUUAGCUGUACAUGUUUGCCUGGCAUGGUUCAUCUGACCUUGACCUCAUUUUCAUGGUUCAUUGGUCUUUGUUUAACUAUCUUAUUUAAUGUUAAGUUUAUGUGACAGUUGUAAUAACGCUUUAUACUUAGGAC
rnacentral:lncRNA from 1 species